GAGUGAGAAUUGAGAAGGAAGGAGCGGCCACAACGGUAGUGAAACGGAGUGGAAGUGAAGUAUGAAUAAAAAACGAAGGACGGAAUACAAAAAGGCCAAAAUGGAGUGGGGAAAUGGAGAAGAGGUGUAGAAUUUG